GCCCACCGUAAAAUUUAUACUUACAUCAACAAACGGCCGGGUAUUACGAGCAUAGCUUAAAACCCAAAGGACUUGACGGUGUCCCACCCAACUAGAGGAGCCUGUUCUAUAAUCUUUAACCCCCGAUAUACCCCACCCCCCCCCAACCCACUCAGCCUAUAUACCUCCGUAGAAAACUUACCAUAUGAAUCCCUUUUCAAAGUUAAAUAGUUCUUAACAAACACGUCAGGUCAAGGUGCAGCUCAUGAUGGGGAAAGCAAUGGGCUACAAGUUUCUAAAAUAGAACAUACGAAAUGCUGCAUGAAACACAGCCACGAAGGCGGAUUUAGUAGUAAAAAGCGAUCAUAGAGCCCUUUUUAAUAAGGCCCUGGGACGUGUACACACCGCC
rnacentral:rRNA from 1 species